UACAGAGGGUGCAAGCGUUACUCGGAAUUAUUGGGCGUAAAGCGCGCGUAGGUGGCCUCAUAAGUCCGCUGUGAAAGUCAAAGGCUCAACCUUUGAAAGCCGGUGGAUACUGUGAGGCUAGAGUACGGAAGAGGCGAGUGGAAUUCCUGGUGUAGCGGUGGAAUGCGCAGAUAUCAGGAGGAACACCAAUAGCGAAGGCAGCUCGCUGGGACGUUACUGACACUGAGGCGCGAAAGCGUGGGGAGCGAACAGG
rnacentral:rRNA from 1 species